GGGGUCAGCCAAGCCAGUGGGAAGCCUACGACAUUCCCCUGGGUCACUUAGUGAACUCCUACUCUUUCAUCAGGCCUCACUUGAACAUGACUUCCUCCAGAAGCCUUCCCAGACAUCUUUGAGCUAGAAAGUCAGAAGAGUAGAAUUGGAACCCAGCUCAGUCUGAUGCCACAUCCUUUGUUGUUUCCAUUAAAUCAGAGAAUUUCUUAGUGCUGAGAAACUAUUCUGGAACUUACAACAAAGGCAAGUGGGAAGGGAGUCGCCUGGAAUUUGAUCUCUGUAGAUGCCUUUUUCAUUUAGUUUAUUUUUCAUUUUUAUCUGUUGCUUUGCUCUUAUCAAAUACAGAUAAAUAGCAGCUGCUACUGGUGCUGUUGAUUGCGAUUUCUGUUUGAAAAUGGAAUCUUGAGCAUCUGUUCUCUCCUUUUAUAUUUUACUGUGAGAGAAAAUCUAUUUUUUUCAAAAGGUAAUUCAUACACAUGGUAAAAAUUUAAACAAUAUAAAAACCUAUUUUUAAAAAACAU
rnacentral:lncRNA from 10 species